rnacentral:tRNA from 1 species
AUGUACAUUAAGUACAUGAGGCGCCGACAGAUGAAUCUAACGAACCUUAGAACGCAAAAGAACUAACACAAUUUGGGGGUGUAGCUCAGCUGGGAGAGCGCCUGCCUUGCACGCAGGAGGUCAUCGGUUCGAUCCCGUUCACCCCCACCAAUAUAUGUGUGAUCUGUGAAGAGUGUGAGUAUAGAUAAGAUAUUUGAACGUAGGAUGAUCGGAAGAUUGGACUGCGUUAGGUGGAUGACAGAGUAAAGACGAAUACAAUAAACAAUCCUAGUUUAACAUUAUAGUGUUAAGUUAGGCUGACGAAAGUUAGGCUAAUAAAACACAAACGCGAAACUAAAUUCAAUUUAACAGAAGCUCUUAAGAGUAAUUCUUGGGAGCGUCGAGUCAAACUUGUUUUAGGGAUGUUGAGUUAGAACUAGGCGAGUUCAAGAGAGGCGACGCAAUGUAUGAAUAAUACAUGAGGAGCCAAACGAAGAACUCAACGACGUAAAUAACUCAAGAGACCAAAACAAGGAUAUCAAGCGUCAAAAGGGCAUCUGGUGGAUGCCUAGGCACAAAGAGGCGAUGAAGGACGUGCUAA